GAAUAGACUACCCCGGUAGUCCACGCCCUAAACGAUGCGAACUGGAUGUUGGGUACAUUACGGUACUCAGUGUCGAAGCUAACGCGUUAAGUUCGCCGCCUGGGGAGUACGGUCGCAAGACUGAAACUCAAAGGAAUUGACGGGGGCCCGCACAAGCGGUGGAGUAUGUGGUUUAAUUCGAUGCAACGCGAAGAACCUUACCUGGCCUUGACAUCUGUCGAAUCCUGCAGAGAUGCGGGAGUGCCGCAAGGAACGACAAGACAGGUGCUGCAUGGCUGUCGUCAGCUCGUGUCGUGAGAUGUUGGGUUAAGUCCCGCAACGAGCGCAACCCUUGUCCCUAGUUGCCAGCACGUAAUGGUGGGAACUCUAGGGAGACUGCCGGUGACAAACCGGAGGAAGGUGGGGAUGACGUCAAGUCCUCAUGGCCCUUACGGCCAGGGCUACACACGUACUACAAUGGUCGGUACAGAGGGUUGCGAAGCCGCGAGGUGAAGCCAAUCCCAGAAAACCGAUCCCAGUCCGGAUUGGAGUCUGCAACUCG
rnacentral:rRNA from 1 species